rnacentral:rRNA from 1 species
UACGUAGGGGGCAAGCGUUGUCCGGAUUUAUUGGGCGUAAAGAGCGUGUAGGCGGCCAUGCAGGUCCGUUGUGAAAACUCGAGGCUCAACCUCGAGACGCCGAUGGAAACCGCAUGGCUAGAGUCCGGAAGAGGAGAGUGGAAUUCCUAGUGUAGCGGUGAAAUGCGCAGAUAUCAGGAAGAACACCGGUGGCGAAGGCGGAUCUCUGGGCCAUAACUGACGCUGAGGAGCGAAAGCAUGGGGAGCGAACAGG